rnacentral:rRNA from 1 species
AGGACGAACGCUGGCGGCGUGCUUAACACAUGCAAGUCGAGCGGUAAGGCCUUUCGGGGUACACGAGCGGCGAACGGGUGAGUAACACGUGGGUGAUCUGCCCUGCACUCUGGGAUAAGCCUGGGAAGCUGGGUCUAAUACCGGAUAUGACCUGCUCUCGCAGUGGGGGGUGGGUGGAAAGAUUUAUCGGUGCAGGAUGGGCCCGCGGCCUAUCAGCUUGUUGGUGGGGUAAUGGCCUACCAAGGCGACGACGGGUAGCCGACCUGAGAGGGUGACCGGCCACACUGGGACUGAGACACGGCCCAGACUCCUACGGGAGGCAGCAGGUGGGGAAUAUUGCACAAUGGGCGAAAGCCUGAUGCAGCGACGCGCGUGAGGAUGAAGGCCUGGGUGUAAACCUCUUCAGCGAGGACGAAGCGCAAGUGACGGUACCUGCAAGAAGAAGCACCGGACCUAACGUAACGUCG